AUUGAACGCUGGCGGCAUGCCUUACACAUGCAAGUCGAACGGCAGCGGGGGAGAAGCUUGCUUUUCCUGCCGGCGAGUGGCGAACGGGUGAGUAAUACAUCGGAACGUGCCCUGUAGUGGGGGAUAACUAGUCGAAAGAUUAGCUAAUACCGCAUACGACCUGAGGGUGAAAGUGGGGGACCGCAAGGCCUCAUGCUAUAGGAGCGGCCGAUGUCUGAUUAGCUAGUUGGUGGGGUAAAGGCCUACCAAGGCGACGAUCAGUAGCUGGUCUGAUAGGACGAUCAGCCACACUGGGACUGAGACGCGGCCCAAACGCCUACGGGAGGCAGCAGUGGGGAAUUUUGGACAAUGGGCGAAAGCCUGAUCCAGCAAUGCCGCGUGUGUGAAGAAGGCCUUCGGGUUGUAAAGCACUUUUGUCCGGAAAGAAAUGGCUCUGGUUAAUACCUGGGGUCGAUGACGGUACCGGAAGAAUAAGGACCGGCUAACUACGUGCCAGCCGCCGCCGUAA
rnacentral:rRNA from 1 species